GUAUGGAAAACAAGUAUGGCACAGUGAAAAAAAUCCUUCUCUCACCCUACAGAUACCUGUACGGAGAGCUUGGGAGGCUUUUCCAUAGGCUCAUUGUCAAGUGAAAGUUAAGCCCCCACUCACUGGGAAGCGAAGGGUGAAGAAAUAAGAUACUACAUGGCUCUGCUUUUUAGUGCAUGGAUCAGAGACACAUCUAUGAACAACUGCCUACGCAAAUUGAUUACUGGGCAAUAUCAUUUCUCAGUUUUUAUGGGUAAAUGAGUGCUUCUCGUCAUGGACCUAGCUUGUGCAUCAAUUUAGUUCCAUUAACUUGCUUUGGAUUCAUGGAAAUUCUGAACAGAGAUGUGAGAAUGACUACAAUUUGAGGUAUCUGUUAAAUACAGCAACAUGACAUCACAAGGAUUGUUUUUGAGUCUUCUGAAUGAGAGAUAAUAAAAUGGUGAAAUCUUAGGACUGGAAUAUCAAGGAAGAAAUAGAGACAACCAUGGUUUCCAGACUCUUUUAUUGGAGAAUAAUUCAUUUGUUGGUUUGUUUGACAGAAAUGGGAUUAUUUGAAGAGAUCAGCACAAGGAAUAAUGGUUUAUAACUUUUCUGAGAUCAGGACUGUAUGUGAAAACAGAGCCAUCCUGAAAACUAUGAAGAAAUAUUUCUUUCAUUCAAAGGAAAACAAAGUAGAAGGAUUCUGGAAAGGAUAGAAAACUCAGUGGUGUUGAGGAGUAUGUAAAUACCUUAGGCCUUUAAGGAAAUUCUACUGAAAUCAACAUAACUAAGGAGACAGGAAGGAAGCCGAGACAAGACAGUGAAGAUUCUGAAGUAAAUGGGUACUUGCUUUGACCAAGAUCGAAACCCACCUCUCCCCAGAGAAUGUUAGAAGAGGGUAUGGAAGACAAGCAUUGGAAAAGUAGAAUGUUUGUGCUUUUCUUUCUGGUGAACUGCAUUAAAUAUUCAGCAAAAGGGGGGAGAUCAGUUUACAUUACUCUUCUUGUUUCUCAUGUAUCGACUGACAGGUGCUGUAAACAUACAUAGACAAACAUGGUCCUAUGCUUGCAGUGCUCCGGUGACUGAGGGAAGACUGAGUAUUUAAUCUCCCAAAGUGAUCACACUGAGGACUUAGCAGACACACUACGCUGAGAUUGAAGAAGAGGCCAUAAAUUUUCUAUUUUCUACAAAACUAUAGGAGCUUGCUUUUC